GAUGUAUAGUCAAGUAAUUAAGUGCAUGUGGUGGAUGCCUUGGCAGUCAGAGGCGAUGAAAGACGUGAUAGCCUGCGAAAAGCUCCGGGGAGGCGGCAAAUAUCCUUUGAUCCGGAGAUGUCUGAAUGGGGGAACCCACCUACUUUAAGGUAGGUAUUGCAACAUGAAUACAUAGUGUUGCAAGGCGAACGAGGGGAAGUGAAACAUCUCAGUACCCUUAGGAAAAGAAAUCAAUUGAGAUUCCCUCAGUAGCGGCGAGCGAACGGGGAUCAGCCCAUUAAGUUAUGUGUGUUUUAGUGGAACGCUCUGGGAAGUGCGAACGUAGAGGGUGAUAUUCCCGUACACGAAAGGGCACACAUAAUGAUGACGAGUAGGGCGAGGCACGUGAAACCUUGUCUGAAUAUGGGGGGACCAUCCUCCAAGGCUAAAUACUCCUGACUGACCGAUAGUGAACCAGUACCGUGAGGGAAAGGCGAAAAGAACCCCUGUGAGGGGAGUGAAAUAGAUCCUGAAACCGCAUGCAUACAAGCAGUGGGAGCACCUUCGUGGUGUGACUGCGUACCUUUUGUAUAAUGGGUCAGCGACUUAUAUUCAGUAGCGAGGUUAACCGUAUAGGGG
rnacentral:rRNA from 1 species